CACCUCUUCCCAUUUCGAACAGAGCAGUUAAGCCCCGCACCGCCGAUGGUACUUGGAUCAAACCCGGGAGAGUAGGUAGAUGCCAGUU
rnacentral:rRNA from 1 species